rfam:Coriobacteriaceae bacterium BV3Ac1 contig00004, whole genome shotgun sequence.
GGGGGCGACUGGUUUCGACAGGGUAAUUCUGAGAUGGGCAGCAGGUCGUGGUCUCCUCGCCACGUAAAACAGGGGUACAGUCAAAAUUGAAUUGACGACAACGUUCUUUCUUUUGAGCCUUCCAUGGCUCUCGCCGCUUAAUUAAGCCUGGCGCGUCUAUCCGGGGAACACUCCCGCCCCCGGUGUGACGUCAUCUAGGGAGAUGCGCUUGGGGACGUAGUCGGUAUGCCGCAAGCAAAGACUGAACCGACUGGGAUACUGCGCGCUGGUCAGCGUGUGUACAGCAUCCAAGAUUAAAUCGCUGACUGAACCUGGAGACACCUGUCAGGGAGUUGCUUUGGACCGGAGUUCGAUUCUCCGCGCCUCCACCA